UAUUUUUUUGUAUUGGUGACUUAAAUAAUUAAAGAAUUAUUUGUUUGUAGUAAAUUUAUUGAACUAAUAAUCUUAGAGAUAGUGUAUUAGUAUUGUGAAAGAAUUUUUGUUAUGAAUGGAAAGAAAAAGUGAUAUUUUGUACCUUGUGUAUCAGGGUUUAUCUAAAAGUUUUUAAGAUUUUGAUUUUCUCGAAUUUGGAAGAGCUAUUUAGCUAUAUUUUUAUUGUGGCAAUAAUAUUAUUAAUAGCUGAAUUGGGGUGAAACGCUAAUCGAUUCCAAAUAUAUCUAGUUUUUUAAGAAAGAAAUUUAAUUUUUACUUGUUAAUAAAAAUAAUUUUUAUUUUUUGGGAUUAUUUUUGAUGGGCGGAAUAAUUUAGGGGUUGAGCUUUAAAUUAAAUUUAUAAAAUAGGUAUUAUUUAUUGAAAUUAGUAGGAUUUGAAGUUUCUGCUUUAGUGAUUUAUAUCUUGAUUUAUUUGGAAUAAGAUUUUUUAAUUUUGUUUAUAUUUUUUAUUAAAAUGUAGAUUUCAAUAUUGGGUUGAUUUAGUAAUAAUGAUGGAAUUAGUAUAAAUUGGAUUUUUUGUUUUAUUAGAUUUAAGGUUUAAUAAAGGAAUUCGGCAAAAAUAGUUCCCACCUGUUUAUUAAAAACAUGGCCUUUUGAUUUAUAAUUUAAGGUCUGGCCUGCCCAAUGAUUGAUUUUAAAUGGCCGCGGUAUAUUGACCGUGCAAAGGUAGCAUAAUCAUUAGUUUUUUAAUUGAGAGCUUGUAUGAAAGGUCGGAUGAGGAACGAACUGUCUCUAUUAAAGUUUAAUAGAAUUUUAUUAGUAUGUAAGAAGGCAUAUAUGAGAAUAAAAGACGAGAAGACCCUAUAGAGUUUUAUAAUUUAAUUGGAAAAGACAAUUGGAAUAUUUAAUUUUAUUUGGUUGAGUUAUUUAGUUGGGGUGAUUGGAUAAUUUAAUGAACUUUUCUUUAUGCUUUAACACUAAUAAGUGAAUAGUUGAUCCUUUAAAAAGAUUAAAAGAGAAAAUUACCUUAGGGAUAACAGCGUUAUUUUUCUAGAGAGUUCUUAUCGAAAGAAGAGUUUGCGACCUCGAUGUUGGAUUAAAAUUAAUGUUUGGUGUAGAGGCUAAACUUUUAGGUCUGUUCGACCUUUAAAAUUUUACAUGAUCUGAGUUUAAACCGGUGUGAGCCAGGUUGGUUUCUAUCUUUAUUUAUUUUAAUAUUUUUUAGUACGAAAGGACCAAAAAUUUACUAUAGGUAGUUUUAAUUUGAAUAUUAUU
rnacentral:rRNA from 1 species